ACAAGGAUUAAAUGAGUAAUACAGGUAGUCCUCGGGUUACGUGGGACUCAGUGUAUGUCAUUUCGUGGUUACGUCGCCAUCUCCCAUUUAUUUAUAUAAAAAAAAAGUUCUGUCAUUUCGAUGUAUGUACAUAUGUGCUUUAUGUUUUUUA